GUCAAGUCAUUUAACUAAAAAAUUUAAAAAUUAUUUUUUUAUAAAAUUGUGAAUUAACAAUGGCUGUACCUAAAACUUCUGUAAUAUCUGUUUUGAUCUGCUUAAGCUUGUUCAUCGUCGGCUUUAAUAUAUUCGAGGGUGAUUCCCAGUCGGAUUUAGCGGGCGUCUUGUUCUUGGCAUGGAUAGUAUUGAUGCUGGAUAAGUUCCGCAUCUAUUUGCGCGUUUUCAAUCGACGGUGGAUCUUUCCGAUCGCAGUGGCGGUCUACUAUCUAUUCAGCCAAGUCGUAGUGUUUUUUAUGUGGGAUCCGAUAUGGUUUAGAAUCGAAAAUAUAAUGCACUGGAUCUUUUCAACACGAUUUGUAUACACCAUCUAUUACAAGUUUCCAACUAUUGUUGUGUUUAUGAGGCGACAAUCGCUGGCUUUUUUCAAGCUGGUCAUGAUGCUUCUAGUUUUCUACAAGACCCUGAAGAGUUAUCAAGUCCCCGAAGAAAAAAAAAGAUAUAGACGUGGAAUUCAUAAAGAAGCGUUAAGGGGUUUGCUGUCUAAGUCUGGAAAUCGAACUCCUCGAGUGUCUAACAGGCGGAAGAAGAAGCAGUAAAGACCAGUUGCACAUUUGUGAUUGUUAUUUGGAAAUUCAUUUAAUGCUCGUUUUUACCAUAUUGUUAUUAAGAUACUUCGGUUGAUGAAACAAACAGAUCAAAUCACAUAUUUGUAUACGAUUUAUUUUAUACUUCUAUAUAUAAGUUUCGGUUUUUAUGCAAGCUCGUUAAUGGCUAAUGGUCCGUGUCGCACGCUUUUUAUAUAAUUGGGUUCCAUUUAGGUACACUCUACAGACGAUUAAUGGAACAGACUAUUAUACGAUUACAUAUUGUGUUCUGUUUAACUAGUUGAUUCUCCAAUAUAUAACAAGUCAAAACACUCAUUUUAUUGGACUUGAACCUUCUUCUUUGUAUUAUUUAUUUAUUGAUUAUACUGGAUUUCAAUUGUGACACAAUCUCGUUCCCUAUAUUGCCAGCAUGGUAACUCCAAUACAUAGGUUUCGGCUUUCGUUUUAUAAAGUAUACUCAUUUGGAUGAUUGAUGGAACAAACAUCAACAUAUGUCAAGUGCUCUAUUAGAACCAUUUAUUUAGUCGUUGAUUAUCUUAGUCUUGACAGUAAUACAGAUUGUCCCACAAUUUCAUGACAAUUUUCUACUUUAAGUUCGAAGUAUGCACCUUUUACAAUAUUGUUUUUCAAGCCGUCAGACACUUGAUUAUCAAAUCAAAUGACAUAGAUAUGAGCGUAAUUGCAUGUAUAUUAAAUCCGAUUUCUUUUUAAUACAAGCUCGUUAAUUACGUUGACGGCAA
rnacentral:sRNA from 1 species